GGUGUGCUGAGUCCUAGGGUUGCCACGAAACAGUCUGCACGGUCUCACAGCCGUCCCAGGGAAAGAAGCUCCAGGGAUUGCGGGGCGAAGCCCCAGGGAUGGACUUUGGGAAGUACUGCGCAUGUGGGACCUGUUCGGUGGUGCAGCCGGGGAGCCAAGAUGGCCUCGCUGAGAAAGACCUGUUUGCUCACUCUGCUCCACUGGAAUUUGAAGGAAAUAAUGAGUAAGCUGGGAGCACACAAGAACUUGGGAGGGAACACAGCUGAGAUGGCUGACCUCAACUGACCAAAGGGAAAUUCCGUGCCAUACAUCAUGCUCAGCAUAUAAACCUGGCGGAAGAAGGGGGGAACCUUUGGAGAGCUGGCUUUUGUCUUCCCAAGUAAUCAUUAUGCAGGAUGGAGCCAUGCUUUCCUGCAGAUGGCUGAACACCUGCCUGCCAACAGGAAAUAGUGAAUUAAUUCCUUAUUUUGCUUUGUUUUCAUGGUUUUUGCUUUACCUAUUAAACCAUCUUUAUCUCA